rnacentral:rRNA from 1 species
AACGUAGGACGCAAGCGUUAUCCGGAGUUACUGGGCGUAAAGGGCGGGCAGGCGGCUUGUCAAGUGGGAUGUCAAAGCGCACAGCUUAACUGAGCGAGGCCAUUCCAAACUGAUGAGCUGGAGGGCAGUAGAGGUAGGCGGAAUUCCGGGUGGAGUGGUGAAAUGCGUAGAGAUCCGGAGGAACACCAGAGGCGAAGGCGGCCUACUGGGCUGCACCUGACGCUGAGACGCGAAAGCGUGGGGAGCGAACAGG